rnacentral:rRNA from 1 species
UACGGGGGGAGCAAGCGUUGUUCGGAUUUACUGGGCGUAAAGGGCGCGUAGGCGGCCACCGCAAGUCAGUUGUGAAAUCUCUGGGCUUAACCCAGAAAGGUCAACUGAUACUGCGGGGCUAGAGUGCAGAAGGGGCAACUGGAAUUCUCGGUGUAGCGGUGAAAUGCGUAGAUAUCGAGAGGAACACCUGCGGCGAAGGCGGGUUGCUGGGCUGACACUGACGCUGAAGCGCGAAAGAUAGGGGAGCGAACGGG